UACGUAGGGUGCAAGCGUUGUCCGGAAUUAUUGGGCGUAAAGAGCUCGUAGGCGGUUCGUCGCGUCGGCUGUGAAAUCCCGAGGCUCAACCUCGGGUCUGCAGUCGAUACGGGCGGACUGGAGUUCGGCAGGGGAGACUGGAAUUCCUGGUGUAGCGGUGAAAUGCGCAGAUAUCAGGAGGAACACCGGUGGCGAAGGCGGGUCUCUGGGCCGAUACUGACGCUGAGGAGCGAAAGCGUGGGGAGCGAACAGGG
rnacentral:rRNA from 1 species